rnacentral:rRNA from 1 species
GACGAACGCUGGCGGCGUGCUUAACACAUGCAAGUCGAACGGAAAGGCCCUGCUUUUGUGGGGUGCUCGAGUGGCGAACGGGUGAGUAACACGUGAGUAACCUGCCCUUGACUUUGGGAUAACUUCAGGAAACUGGGGCUAAUACCGGAUAGGAGCUCCUGCUGCAUGGUGGGGGUUGGAAAGUUUCGGCGGUUGGGGAUGGACUCGCGGCUUAUCAGCUUGUUGGUGGGGUAGUGGCUUACCAAGGCUUUGACGGGUAGCCGGCCUGAGAGGGUGACCGGCCACGUAGGAACUAAAAACGGGCCCAGGCACUUAGGGAGGGAGGCAGGGGGGAAAGUUUCCCAAGGGGCGGAGCCUUAUGAAGGCACCCCGCGUGGGGGAUGACGGCCUUCGGGUUGUAAACCGCUUUCGCCUGUGGCCGAGCAUGAGUGACGGUAAAGGGUAAAGAAGCACCGGCUAACUACGUG